rnacentral:rRNA from 1 species
GGUAAUGUCGGGGCAGAGGCCGGGGUAAACAGGAUGGACCAAUAGUAGUCCGGAGUAUAUGGGCGUAAAAGGUGGGCAGGGUGUUAAGUAAGGCUGAGGUGAAAGGCUGCGGCUCAACCGGAGAAUUGCAUCGGAAACUGGAUGAAUUGAGUGCAGUAGAGGAGAGCGGAACUCCAUGUGUAGCGGUGAAAUGCGUAGAUAUAUGGAAGAACACCAGAGGCGAAGGCGGCUCUCUGGACUGUAACUGACGCUGAGGCUCGAAAGUGUGGGUAGCAAACAGGAUUAGAUACCCUUGUAGUC